CUCCGCCCCCCGGGGCCGCGCUGCCCCGGCGCCGCCUUCCCUGAGGGGAAAAAAAUGGUAGCCAGGCCAAAGUGCAGAAAAGGUAAAGGAGUCAAGACAAGGAACUUGGUGGUACGUCAACUCUGCAAACCAGGUGAAUACCACAAGCGGUCUUGGUCUGAGCCGCUUGGAGCUCCUCCAAGGAGCACAGGUCACUGUUCCAGGUAGGCCACCUACCAGUCAAGUUACCCUGGGGAAUGGAAUAUUCAACAUUGAAAAAAGAUACCAUUCCUGAAGCAAAAAAAUUAUCUUCGAUAUGAAUUUGCAACUGCAGAUUUGUGACAAAUAAAGUUAAAUACAGUGUCACUGAGACAAAUUCACUGCAGAUAGUGAGGCACUGGACAGAGAUUUUAAAGGUCUCUUUUUUAAAAAAAAUACUUUCAGAAUCUUGGCAAACCAAGGUCUAGUCCCAGCAACACAGACACAGCUUGCAUGAGUAAAAUUGUACCCAGGCUAGCAAAGUAUGGCGCAGCAAGCUAAACUCCAUGGCCUUUGAAACCGAAGUCUGAAGUUUGCUGCUUGCAGCCAUCUCUAAGUGCAUACACCUUUUUCCUUUUUUGAUUUUUGUUUCUGUGUUGACUCUGACUCAUCCUAGUUACAUGCAAGCCUCGUUUUCACUUCUGCCCUUUCUGUCCUGCAUCUUACACUGCCACUUUACCAGUGGUACAGCGUGCUUCACAGGUAUUUAAUUAAUGUGUCUUCACAGCUGCCCUUUAUCCCCAUUUUGCAGACAUGCAACUAAAACCCAUGAAAGAAAUCUGAGAUUACACUAGAAAUUCCAUUCUUAACAAUGAAUGUCCCUGUCUAACAUACCAAGCACCUUCCCAGUCUACUAUAUGUUUGGGUUUGCCAAGUGGCCUAUAUCAUGUCUGGAAAUGUGAUUUGGGUGAAAUUUAGAGGCUGACUAGGACUUUCUUCAGACAGGACAGCAGCAUUAGCUCUUGCUGGGACCCUGAAAAUCUUGCACGCUGCCACUGCGCAUGCUAAAAUCUCCUGUACAGAUCUGAGUACAGUAAAUCUGACUGUAUGAUGUGGCCCAGUGUACCACUGAACAACAAACAUCUAAAUUGCCAUGGUGGAUAUAUGGAGAAGAAUUAGGGCACACUGAAUGCUGCCCUACUCUGGCAUGACCACUGAAACUAUAGGCUAGUCUGGUUACAAUGACCUUCACUUAGGUUUAGGCCCCUAAUUUAUCUUUGAGAUUGGGUCUUAGGUUCUAAAGUAGGCGAUCCAGAUGAUUAAAUGUGAGUGUGUACCUAAUUAUGCAGAUAGCAUCCAAUAGGACUUAAAAGGCAGAAUGCUCCAUUUAUUUUUUUUUUUAAACUUUAACAGAAUUUUCUCAGCAUCACACAUUAGGAACCUGUAUCUGCCUUCAGGCACUUUGUAAACUUCUAACCUAAGUAAAGGAAUUUGCUUUGACUACAACCUAUAUUGAAAACUUUAGUAAGACAAGGCACAUCUCCCAGUGGCUUCCUGUGAAAAGGCCUAUUAGCUCAGUAAUAGAGGUUAUUAAAAUGUUGAUAAUUUAAAUGCAUUAUUACACCUGUAUACUUUUUGUGAACAUUUGUGCUAAUAA